rnacentral:rRNA from 1 species
AUUGAACGCUGGCGGCAGGCCUAACACAUGCAAGUCGAGCGGAGCGGCGGACGGGUGAGUAAUGCCUAGGAAUCUGCCUGGUAGUGGGGGAUAACGUCCGGAAACGGGCGCUAAUACCGCCUACUUUCAGCUGAGCCUAGGUCGGAUUAGAUAGUUGGUGGGGUAAAGGCAUACCAAGGCUACUAUCCGUAACUGGUCUGAGAGGAUGAUCAGUCACCCUGGAACUGAGACACGGUCCAGACUCCUACGGGAGGCAACAGUGGGGAGUAUUGGACAAUGGGCGAAAGCCUGAUCCAGCCAUGCCGCGUGUGUGAAGAAGGUCUUCGGAUUGGAAAGCACUUUAAGUUGGGAGGCGUUACCAACAGAAUAAGCACCGGCUAACGUCGUGCCAGCAGCCGCGGUAAUUG